UUUAAUAAUAUUAUUCUAAGCUGGCAUGAAAAGUGAUUAUCCGCGCUGUGAUUGGUCCGGUUAUCUGACCCGGGGACUGCCAGGAGAAGACAAUAGUUUUAGUCAAAUUAUUUGCCAUGGUGACGCUGUCAAUCAGGGGUAACCCGAUCUGUUUUGAGGUGGCUCCCCGGCUGGGUUGACAGAUUGCUCAGAUCCACUCAGAGGCGGCCCCGAGAGCUGAGAUAUUAGCUAGCGAGGGAGAAAUUUCCGUCGUGAUUGACGCUGCAGGCGCCCGUCGGGGGAGAGGGGGAGCGCGGUGCCCGGGCCCCUGCUCCUCGCCGCGGGGCACUGCGGCGCGGCGGGACGGAGCCGCUGUCUCGGCCGGGCUCCGCCGUCCCGUCUGGAUCCCGCAGCCCCAUCCCAUACCCGCUGCUCGGGACGGACAGCGGGCUCUGCCGUCCCUGGCAGCCGCGGCUGCAGUGGGAGGAAAAGCCCGUCUCCGACCCUUACAGAAAAAAUUCUUUCUAAAAGCGUUCCCUUGUAGCCCCUCUCCCCAGCGCCCAGUAACCACUGUUGGAGAGUUUUAUAAGGAAGGGGCCUCUCAUGUACAAUGGAGACCCUGUUCGUGACCUGGGAUCCCAUUUCACGCUUCUCGUACCUGCCCGGGAGCGAGAAGAAGGCACGAUGAUACGGGGCCGGAGAGGGAUUGCCUCUCCAUGAAUCGCCGGCCGUGCCCCACAGCGCUCCAGCGUGAAGGGCGCUGGCAUUUGUGAUCCCCGGACGCCGGACAUUUACUUAUACUCGAUUUCCAGAGCGUGUCGGGGUGUUUCAUCCAGGAGAGGAACACGUGUAAAAGUCAGAGAGACUUCUCUUGAUUAAACGGACCCUUAUCACCCACGCGUGCCCUUUGCACACCGCGUUUUAAGUUUACCGACUCCGCGGGGCAGGGACCCGCAUCAUUUCCCGUCCUUUGUCGGUCUACACAAAGUGAAAGGCGAGGGAGAGAGGUAGUGCAAGCUGCAAGGUCGAGGGAGAGGGUGCGAUGAGCGGCUGAAGGGAGCCGCGGUGCCUUCUCGGGAGCGGCGCACGGGGGGGCGGCCGAGUGGGACCGCCGGGGCGGAGGCUGGCGCCGGGGAUCGCCCAGUCCUGACAGGAGAGGUCUCUGCAAUUGUGGGUUCCUGCCACGGUACCUUUUUAGCCACCACGGCGCGUCAGGGAUUUAGCGAAGCCACAAGAGACCGGACUGCGGCUCCCCGCCUCGCAGCCUGAGCCUCCGCGGCCGACGCACCGAGCCUCCGGGCCGGCCCGAGCGGGCGCAGCGGCCGUUCCCGGGGGAAGGCGAGGCUGGGGCGGCGGCGCGCAGCCCGGCGGCCCCCGGCGGCGGCGGCUCCCGGCGAGGAGCCGCGCCAGGGCUGCGGCCGGGGGAAAUGCGGCGGGGGAGGGAGGCAGGAGGAGGAGGAGGAAGAGGGCGGAGUAGGGGGGCAGCGGAUCAACCGUGUCCAGCUCCCAGCAUGUCCGAACGCCUGUGUAUAUCCGCGGCGUAUGCCCGUACUUUCUCGAGUGCACUCUGCUGAGGAAGCUGUCCUCCUACCUGUCCGUCCGGUCUUUUCACGAGUGCUGCCAUAGGGAAACAGUGGCAAGCGGGCGGUUCCCGCCCUGGAUCCUCCGGGAACGGAAAAUAGAGGCUUCUUUUUCAGAUGGAGGAAAGAACAGCUCAAAUUCGUUUAAAACAAAAUCGGGCUUGUGGGUGACAGUGGUUAAAUCUGAACGGGAGCAGCUGUUAGCCCUAGUUGGAAAGGAGAUGUCAAAACCUGUUGCUUAGAUUUAGACCUGAAAAAGUCUUCUUAGCAUCCUAAAAUGUGAGUACAGAGUUUACACUCCAGCUCCUCCAUAGGCGCUUUCACUUUAGGCUGCCUUAGCCAGGCUGCAGCUUGCAUGUAAUGUAAGUUCACUUCCCGGAGAGCUGGGCAGAGGCAGGGCUACCCCCUUCCCGGGCACCCUGUAUCAGCUUGCGUCCUAGAGCUAUCGUAAAUUAGUGACAUCUGGAUCCAAAUUCUGCAUAACUGCUUUUAUCUUUAGGGAAAGAGAAAAUUUUUCCUACGUGCGAGAAGCAGAUACUGGCUGCACAGCCGCGGCGCUGAGCGAAUCGCAUUGUAGUGCCUUGCGAGCGAAAUAGGCAAUCGGGAGAGGAGCUUUUUUUGGCAUUUGCGAAGGCUCUCGUUCCCUGACAUUAUAUUUCAGAGCAGGAGGAGCGAAUCGCCUGCUCACAUUUGCCCCUGGACCGACGAGAUGGUUUCGCCUGGCUACUGCCAGCUGUCUCCCGUUUAGCUGUCGUGGAAAGUUUUAGC